rnacentral:SRP_RNA from 1 species
GCCGGGUGCCGUGGCUCACACCUGUAAUCCCAGCACUUUGGGAGGCCAAGGUGGGUGGAUCACAAGGUCAGGAGUUCGAGACCAGCCUGGCCAANUUGGCCAGGCUGGUCUCGAACUCCUGACCUUGUGAUCCACCCACCUUGGC